CAGAUUGAAGAGUUCAACUUAGGAAAGAGACAUUUAACCAACAUGAUGGGAGAAGACCCAGAAACUUUUACCCAAGAGGAUAUUGAUAGAGCUAUUGCUUACCUUUUUCCGAGUGGCUUGUAAGGCAGGCCCAUAAUGAAGCAUCCUGAGCAGGUUUUUCCAAAACAAAGAGCAAUCCAGUGGGGAGAAGAUGGCCGUCCGUUUCAUUAUCUCUUCUAUACUGGCAAACAAUCAUAUUAUUCAUUAAUGCAUGACAUAUAUGAAAAGUUACUCAAACUAGAAAAACAUCAAAAUCAGUUGCAAGCCAAAGAUCUACUUCCAGAGAAAACUGAAACCAGAGACCUGAUUGGCAGCAGAUGGCUGAUUAAGGAGGAACUAGAAGAAAUGUUAGUGGAAAAACUGUCAGAUCAAGAUCAUAUGCAGUUUAUUCGGCUGCUGGAAAAGUUAUUGACAUUGCAGUGUGGUGCUGCUGAGGAAGAAUUUGUGCAGAGGUUUCGCAGAAGUGUAACUAUUCAAUCAAAAAAACAGCUGAUUGAACCUGUGCAGUAUGACGAGCAAGGAAUGGCCUUUAGCAGAAGUGAAGGACAGAGAACAGUUGAUGUUCCCUUUUCAAUUCCGUGACCGACUUGGAAAACACGAUGUGACCUGCACCGUCUCAGGGGGCAGGAGGUCGGCGCAGGCUGGAGCAAUAAGCUUGGCGAUGGCAAAAGCCUAGUGCAGCUUCGUCACCGAGGACAGGUUGAGUGGAUGAGACAAGCUGGACUACUGACUACCGAUCCCCAAGUCAGAGAACGGAAGAAGCCAGGCCAGGAGGGAGCCCGAAGAAAGUUUACCUGGAAGAAGCGCUGAGGCCUUUUUCACAGGAAGAGAGGAGGAAGAGCUGUAUGUACGUGCCUGGCGUAUGGCUGACCCACGCGAGGGUGGCACUAUCAGAAAUUUUUUUUGAGUUGUGAGAAGACUUAUUAUUAAAUGCUGCUUUGUAAAGGU